UACGUAGGGGGCAAGCGUUGUCCGGAUUUAUUGGGCGUAAAGAGCUCGUAGGCGGCUGAUCGCGUCGGGUGUGAAAGCCCCGGGCUCAACCUGGGAAUUGCAUUCGAGACUGCAUUGCUGGAGUACGGAAGAGGAAGGCGGAAUUCCCGGUGUAGCGGUGAAAUGCGUAGAUAUCGGGAGGAACAUCAGUGGCGAAGGCGGCCUUCUGGUCCAGUACUGACACUCAAGUGCGAAAGCGUGGGGAGCAAACAGG
rnacentral:rRNA from 1 species